rnacentral:rRNA from 1 species
UGGGGAAUUUUGGACAAUGGACGAAAGUCUGAUCCAGCGACGCCGCGUGGAGGAUGAAGGUUUUCGGAUUGUAAACUCCUUUUAUAGGGGACGAAAGCAGGCAACUGUUUGACGGUACCCUGUGAAUAAGCCACGGCUAACUACGUGCCAGCAGCCGCGGUAAUACGUAGGUGGCGAGCGUUACUCGGAAUUACUAGGCGUAAAGCGUGCGCAGGCGGUUUUGUAAGACAGAUGUGAAAUCCCCGGGCUUAACCUGGGAACUGCAUUUGUGACUGCAAGGCUAGAGUACGGCAGAGGGGGGUAGAAUUCCACGUGUAGCAGUGAAAUGCGUAGAGAUGUGGAGGAAUACCAAUGGCGAAGGCAGCCCCCUGGGAUAAUAUUGACGCUCAUGCACGAAAGCGUGGGGAGCAAACAGG